rnacentral:rRNA from 1 species
CUGAACCAGCCAAGUAGCGUGAAGGAUGAAGGUCCUACGGAUUGUAAACUUCUUUUAUACGGGAAUAAAGUCUCCUACGUGUAGGAUUUUGUAUGUACCGUAUGAAUAAGCAUCGGCUAACUCCGUGUCAGCAGCCGCGGUAAUACGGAGGAUGCGAGCGUUAUCCGGAUUUAUUGGGUUUAAAGGGAGCGCAGACGGGAGAUUAAGUCAGUUGUGAAAGUUUGCGG